UACGGAGGGGGCUAGCGUUAUUCGGAAUUACUGGGCGUAAAGCGCACGUAGGCGGCUUUGUAAGUUAGAGGUGAAAGCCCGGAGCUCAACUCCGGAACUGCCUUUAAGACUGCAUCGCUUGAACGUCGGAGAGGUAAGUGGAAUUCCGAGUGUAGAGGUGAAAUUCGUAGAUAUUCGGAAGAACACCAGUGGCGAAGGCGACUUACUGGACGACUGUUGACGCUGAGGUGCGAAAGCGUGGGGAGCAAACAGG
rnacentral:rRNA from 1 species